rnacentral:tRNA from 1 species
GGCUGUAGCUCAGCGGCAGGGUGCUUGCCUCGAAUGUUUGAGGUACUGGGUUCAAUCCUCAGCACCA